rnacentral:rRNA from 1 species
UACGGGGGGGGCAAGCGUUGUUCGGAAUUACUGGGCGUAAAGGGCGCGUAGGCGGUGCUCUAAGUUAGAUGUGAAAACUCUGGGCUCAACCCAGAGCCUGCAUCUAAAACUGGAGUGCUAGAGUUCUGGAGGGGGUAGCGGAAUUCCUGGUGUAGCGGUGAAAUGCGUAGAUAUCAGGAGGAACACCGGUGGCGAAGGCGCCACUCUGGGCCGAAACUGACGCUGAGGAGCGAAAGCGUGGGUAGCAAACAGG